rnacentral:sRNA from 1 species
GCCCAAAGUCGCACGUGCCUGUGGAUGUACGCCGAUCCUCUAAUGGUGAGGGAUUCGGUAAGGUACCUGGUAGUGAUUCUAGUCAUUCUUACGACCAAUCGUAAGAGUGAGAACAUCCUGAAGCAACGACGGUGCGGGCCUUU